UAAUUUAAAAUAUUAAUAAUUAAUAAAAAUACUUGCAGCAGUAUUGCAUUGCCGCAGAGCGAAUCGCAGAGCUCAGAGGAUAAUGACAACAUUGAAACGGUCGUUAAAAAGAGCCAAGCUAGAUUUGGAUGCGAAGGAAUGAGGUGAAGACCUCAUUGAAGAAUUGGGACUAGACUUCCUGGGGAUACCACUUUAAAAAAUGCCUACUACUGGUGGGGAUAAAGAGUCAUUUUAUCAUACCCAAUGAUCAAGAUUUAUAAAUAUGUAUAUCUAUUCGAAUUAUAGGCUCUAGGACCUGUACUACCAGAUGGUAGCGUCGAUCCAGACGGUAAAUUGGGAAAAAAUUCCUGGGAACGGCUUCAGAUCUAAAACCUAAAUUGGAGGAGAUCCCAAAGGACGAUGCGAACAUCAAGGAGCCCAAAAGAAAAAGUAUUUAAAAAAGUAUUGUACUUUGCAAAAAAAGUCCUAAAUCCUUUUCUGCUUCUCAAUUUCCGAAAUGAAAAAGAAGAAUAAAAGGAGAAGAAUCUGCUUGGCCUAGGUGGGGCAUGAUCAGGAUAGACAUUUCCUUCACCCUCUAUUAAGAAAGCUAAUAUCCAUCACUAUAGGUGGAUAGCCACCGAUCUUGUCAGUCUUUCCAGUCAAUCUUGUAUUUAUUUAUACGAUAUUCCUUAAUUCUUCGAAAUAUCCUUAAUUCGUCUAUAAUAGAAGGGAGGUCCUAAGCAUAAACCUCUUCUCGGCCUCACUAGUUUUUGCAAUCAAAAGCCCAACUGACCGAGGAGCGCUGUCGCAUAACGUACGACUCGAUCCGAGAUAGAUCCGUGAUAGUUUUCUAUCACGGUAGUAAGUAUCAGGAG